GCUGUAGUAUGGAUGAAGAGCAAAACGGACGAUGACAUGGUUGAAAGGAGAACGUUCCCAAUGAGCGAGCGACUCCCAGUCAUCCAGUCAAUAGUCCACACAGAUUCCUUUCAUCUCAUCGUGGUCUACUGUGCUGACAUGACUCUGCGGCUCUUUGGGGACCAUUUUAAGGCCUUUAAAUCCACGGGUACUGUGCCCUGCCGCUUUGGUAUCAACUGUCUCUGCUUUGAUCCAGAAACAAAGUUGCUGUUGUCUGGCAUCGUUGGGGCAGUGAUCAACUGGGCCAUCGAGCCGAGCGGCAAGGGCCUCCAAAUAAUGCAGGUAUUUCCCACACCUGGUGAGGAGAUGGUCCAGACUAUCACCCUGAAUGGCCCCAAUGNNNNNNNNNNNNNNNNNNNNNNNNNNNNNNNNNNNNNNNNNNNNNNNNNNNNNNNNNNNNNNNNNNNNNNNNNNNNNNNNNNNNNNNUGCUCUCCUCUCACCUUCUGUCUCAUGAGUCUCGAUGGAAGAUUUCUCUACGCGGGGAACAAGGCUGGGGAAGUCCAUGUAUGGAUCAUGAGUAGGAGCAUGGCCCUCCACAGCUUCAGAGCCCAUUCCUCAGUCGUGAUAUGUAUACAGAGCCGGUCCGAGGUCCAUACCAUGUUGACAGCUGGCAAGGAAGGCGUAAUCAAGGAAUGGAAUCUGACUUCGGGAAAUCUGCUCCGGCGACUCGAACUUGGCGAGGAGCUCAACAAACUCCAGUUUAUCAACCACAAUACUUUCUUCUGCCAGACAACUCAUAGCGCCGUCUGCCCUGCUUCUACAGCCUCUUCAACGUCUGUGGUUCUGCUCCCCUGCACUUGCGGCGAAUCCGCUGUAGAGAGAACUGCUUCCGGAUCCUGUGCACCACUGAAGACGGCCUGAUGCGCUUUUUGUCUCCUGUAACAGGGGAUCUUUUGAUUAUCAUCUGGCCUCUCUCAGUCCUUGAUCGGGCUGUGGAUUGGGCUUACGAUCCCGGUAAAGACGAGCUCAUGGUGGCAACAGGCUCCUCAGAGGUGCUGGUGUUUGACACGAGCCGCAACCCUUGCCCAGUCAAGUAUGUCUUGUGCACCUCUACGGAUGUUCAGGACUACGUCCAGUGCCUGGCUUACGGGAAUUUCCGUCUGGGGCGGGGGCUGGAAGGACUGAUAUUCUCUGGGCAUCAGAGCGGUAUAGUAAGAGUACUUUCACAGCACAGCUGUGCCAGAAUCGAGAAAGUCGUGCACUUUGGGGCUGUACUGGCUCUCUCAGCACACUUUGGAGGGCUAUUGAGCAACCGAGAAACCUUUUUGCUCUGUUCCUACGGGAUGGAUGACUACAUACAGUUGUCAGAAGCUGUGUUAGUUGGGUCCAGAUUACAGCUACGGUCCCUGGCUAGCAUUCUCAGCAGCUGUCAACUAAAACACCUCGUCCUCUUACCAAGGGCUGUAGGUGCCAUUACAGACACCAACUGCCUGCGGCUCUGGAAGUUCCAUGAUUUCCUGUCCUUUGGGUCAAAAGAAGGCACCCGAUUCAUAGAGACGUUGCCUCUGCACCAAUGUAACAUUACCUCCUUUGAUGUCUGCUUGCCCUUGAGCCUUAUUGUCACAGGUGCCGCUGAUGGCGCCGUCCGCGUCUGGGAUUUCCAUGGUAGACUUAUAGCCAAUUUGGACUCAACACUGAACUUUGGCCCACUCUGCUUUUUAAAUGACCGUGCUGACCUGCUGGUGACUUUCAACCAGGCCAUUUAUCUGGUGUCUUGCUUAGAAUUGCUCCCUGCAGGUAAGCUCUCUCACCUCAUCCUUAUGAGUGUAACAGAUGACGUGGUAGAAGACCCAAAACCUUUUGUGCCAAGCUUCUUCUUCUCCUUUGAGACCAUAUUUGUGCCUAGGUAUACCUACCAAGAUCAGCGGAGACAGGAAUUAGAAGGCCUGGUGUGCCUUGUCAAUAAGCGGGCCAUUGCCUUUGACCAUAAUGUACCACACGUCAUAGAAGAAGAUGAUGGGAGCACCAUGUUACUGAGACGCCCCCGGCAGAGGCAGAGUUAUUUCGAGGGAUAUGUCUUGGCUGAGGAGCAAGAGAAAUCCCGAACUCGUUAUGUGGCCCCUCCUCAGUUACAAAUGACUGUUUGGGAUGGACUCAACCCUUAUCAUAUGCUACGAUGCUACUUAGGUCAGGGGAGGAAAUGGCUUCUUGCUCCUUUUUUCUACAUCCCCAACUCAGUGAUCCGUGCCCGUCUUUGGCCAGAGGGCAGCCCAGUAUUCCUGCAGUGCUCUCUGCACUCACCCCAGCGGGAUCUGGACUGGGAAAAGAGACAGCCAUUCUUCCUCUUGGAAAGCAAGAUAAAAAUUAUAGGGGAAGCAGAAGAGGUUGCAGAGAAAGAGGAUGAGAGCUUCCUACAAGGCAGAUUAACGAAGGACAUCACUUUCAACGUCCUUACAGAAGCAGCAAACCGUAGCUGGCUGGGAAAGAAGAUGAGCGAGCUAGCCAUUUGUAGCCUGGUCGAGGCAAUCCUCCACAUUAUGGUCCACGCCGACCCACUGAAAUACCAGUGCUGUAUUGGUGCGCUGGGCCAAAUCUUCGCCGCUUACCAGGUGUCCCCAGCCCUGCGCUCUGAGACAGCACACCGUUUGCUAGACGACACAACCAAUACCAACCCACCUCUCCGAGAACUAGCCUGGGAAGGGCUGAAGCGUCUGGGGAUGAUCACACAUCUCUUUGCUUUGCCUCUGUCUCAGGGAUUAAUGGAUAAGGACUCAAAAGUGAGGAGUAAAGCCUUGAGCCUCGUGCCUGACACUGGAAUCCAUUCAAAGACCUCUCUGCUAACCCUUCUCCAGAAACCAGACAUUUUCCGGGAUUUGCAGCAAGAGAUGAUUGGGGAGGAGUCCCUGGACCAUCUUUUUGGGAUGCGGCCAACAGACAUUCAACUCCUCAUUACUAAUGUAGAACAGCGAUUAAAUGAGAACCUGUCACUAUACAAAGGAGAUAGAAUGCCUGAAUCCUCUUUAGGUCUCCCAGGGCUUUCUGCACCUAGUAAGCCCACUUACUUGCAACCUCUGUCAGCUCCUGAAGGACUUGAGGACAAGGCCAGCAAAAGCCAAAGAUUAAUCCGCAAAAAGCAGGCCCAGAAAUUGUGGCGAGGUCUCAAAAGAGACAAAGUAGCAGCUAGACUUCAAAAACAAGAGGAGAUAAGUGAACAGGGUGAAGCCGAAAUGGUCGAGGAUCUCACAACCCAUCCCAGGUCGUCCCCCGAGACCCUAAUAAGGAGCCCCAAGGAAACUGAAAUUUCAGAGAAAGAUAUCUCGAAGGACCACAUUUCUGUGGCCAUGAAAAUGAGGAAAACACCGAAAGUCACAAGCAAGAAAGGCAAGAAAGCUGGAAAACCCAGCAAGUACAAGAAAAAGAAAAAAGGAGAAUCUGAAGUUACAGGUGAGGAAAUCUUGCCUUCAGCUGUGGAGGUGCCGGAACCUCCCCCACGGAGGAGAAGGCCAAGAUUCACUGGGAGGGGCGUCGGGGGGUUACCUGGUAGGAUUCUCACUGCAGAUACCGCUUGGCGGGAUGAUCUCUGUCAGCUCAUAAACCUGAGGAUAUCUGGUUCCCAAACUCAGAUGGUGCAUGACCUAGGUAUUGAGCUACUGGCCACUGCUAAGGAGGUACUGAUGGAUAAACGCCCGAGCUGGGAACUCUUUAUGGAGAUCUGUCCACUGGUGGAGGAAGAAAGGAGAAGCAUAGUUGAGGGCUUCAAGGGGAAAGAGGAAGAAUCCAUUUUGGUUCCUGAAGAAGCAAUUGGAGAAGAAAGAGUCACCACAGCCAAGGAAGAAAUGGCAAAGGCAAGAGAAGAAGAAACACUAGAAAAAGAACUGGAAACAAAGAAGGAGCAGGAAAAGGAGGAGGAGAGGGAGAAGAGGAAGGAGAAGGAGAAGGAGGUGGAGGAAGGAAUGAUUCACAAAAAGGGCAAAAAGAAAGAAGUUGCUUUCUUAGAACCAGGUGAGGUCGUCAAAGGGAAGGCAAAGUCCAGGAAGGAGGGGAAGAAAGCUAAGAAGAUGGAGAAACAGGAGAGAAUGAAGGAAGGUAUAAAAGAGAGGACAGUCCCCGUGGAGGCUUUGGCUGUGACUCCAGAAGUAAAGGAAAUGGCUGAAAAAGAUGAAAAAGGAGAAGAAAAGGCAGAAAGAGGAGGAGAAGGAAAAGGAGGAGUGGAAGAAGAAAAAGAAAAAGGAAAGGGAAAAGAAAAAGGAAAAGAAGAAAAAGAAAAAGAAGAAAAAGGAAAGGGAAAAGAAAAAGAAAAAGGAAAAGAAGAAAAAGAAAAAGAAGAAAAAGAAAAAGAAAAAGAAGAAAAAGAAAAAGAAGAAAAAGCAAAAGAAAAAGAAGAAAAAGGAAAAGAAGAAGAAGAAAAAGAAAAAGAAGAAAAAGCAAAAGCAAAAGGAAAAGAAGAAACAGCAAAAGAAAAAGGAAAAGAAGAAGAAGGAGAAGGAGAAGAAGAAAAAGAAAAAGAAGGAAAAGAAAAAGAAGAAGAAAAAGGAA
ensembl:lincRNA